rnacentral:rRNA from 1 species
AGUGAACGCUGGCGGUAGGCCUAACACAUGCAAGUCGAACGGCAGCACAGUAAGAGCUUGCUCUUACGGGUGGCGAGUGGCGGACGGGUGAGGAAUACAUCGGAAUCUACUUUUUCGUGGGGGAUAACGUAGGGAAACUUACGCUAAUACCGCAUACGACCUACGGGUGAAAUCAGGGGAUCUUCGGACCUUGCGCGAUUGAAUGAGCCGAUGUCGGAUUAGCUAGUUGGCGGGGUAAAGGCCCACCAAGGCGACGAUCCGUAGCUGGUCUGAGAGGAUGAUCAGCCACACUGGAACUGAGACACGGUCCAGACUCCUACGGGAGGCAGCAGUGGGGAAUAUUGGACAAUGGGCGCAAGCCUGAUCCAGCCAUACCGCGUGGGUGAAGAAGGCCUUCGGGUUGUAAAGCCCUUUUGUUGGGAAAGAAAAGCAGCAGGUUAAUACCCCGCUGCUCUGACGGUACCCAAAGAAUAAGCAACGGCUAACUUCGUG